rnacentral:rRNA from 1 species
CUUGCUUCUCUUGAGAGCGGCGGACGGGUGAGUAAUGCCUAGGAAUCUGCCUGGUAGUGGGGGAUAACGUCCGGAAACGGACGCUAAUACCGCAUACGUCCUACGGGAGAAAGCAGGGGACCUUCGGGCCUUGCGCUAUCAGAUGAGCCUAGGUCGGAUUAGCUAGUUGGUGGGGUAAUGGCUCACUAAGGCGACGAUCCGUAACUGGUCUGAGAGGAUGAUCAGUCACACUGGAACUGAGACACGGUCCAGACUCCUACGGGAGGCAGCAGUGGGGAAUAUUGGACAAUGGGCGAAAGCCUGAUCCAGCCAUGCCGCGUGUGUGAAGAAGGUCUUCGGAUUGUAAAGCACUUUAAGUUGGGAGGAAGGGCAGUAAAUUAAUACUUUGCUGUUUUGACGUUACCGACAGAAUAAGCACCGGCUAACUCUGUGCCAGCAGCCGCGGUAAUACAGAGGGUGCAAGCGUUAAUCGGAAUUACUGGGCGUAAAGCGCGCGUAGGUGGUUCGUUAAGUUGGAUGUGAAAUCCCCGGGCUCAACCUGGGAACUGCAUUCAAAACUGACGAGCUAGAGUAUGGUAGAGGGUGGUGGAAUUUCCUGUGUAGCGGUGAAAUGCGUAGAUAUAGGAAGGAACACCAGUGGCGAA